rnacentral:tRNA from 1 species
UGGCUGAGUGGUAAAGUGCUUGGCUUUUGAACAGGAGGUGCCAGGUUCAAAUCCUGG